rnacentral:rRNA from 1 species
UUUAUCCUACGGGAGGCAGCAGUGGGGGAUAUUGCACAAUGGAGGAAACUCUGAUGCAGCGACGCCGCGUGAGGGAAGACGGUCUUCGGAUUGUAAACCUCUGUCUUUGGGGAAGAAAAUGACGGUACCCAAAGAGGAAGCUCCGGCUAACUACGUGCCAGCAGCCGCGGUAAUACGUAGGGAGCGAGCGUUGUCCGGAAUUACUGGGUGUAAAGGGAGCGUAGGCGGUCGAGAAAGUUGAAUGUUAAAUCUACCGGCUUAACUGGUAGCUGCGUUCAAAAUUUCUUGUCUUUAGU